rnacentral:rRNA from 1 species
UACCAGCACCCCGAGUGGUCGGGACGUUUAUUGGGCCUAAAGCAUCCGUAGCCGGUUCUACAAGUCUUCCGUUAAAUCCAUCUGCUUAACAGAUGGGCUGUGGAAGAUACUAUAGAGCUAGGAGGCGGGAGAGGCAAGCGGUACUCGAUGGGUAGGGGUAAAAAUCCGUUGAUCCAUUGAAGACCACCAGUGGCGAAGGCGGCUUGCCAGAACGCGCUCGACGGUGAGGGAUGAAAGCUGGGGGGAGCAAACCGG